rnacentral:lncRNA from 1 species
GUUAUGAACAGUUAAGCCGCCUAAGUUAGACGAUUGAGACUGACUACAAGGGGAUGUAUGAAAAUGAUUGGAUAAAAUACCCCCUGAUUAAGUGAAAUUACUCCCCUAGUUGAGUGUAAAGCUGGGCUUUGCGAAGAUAGGUACCACAUCACAUCUGUGUGUAAGGUGUAGGGAAGGGACGUAUGCACAGUGCCCCCACCGGCUUCUAUUGGGAAAGGAAGGUUUCUCUGAGGCCUCACCAGAUGCACCCUCUUGAUCUAGAUGCCAGAUUACUUUCACCAGAUGCCUCUGGACCUCACCUUGAUUCCAGUCACAGCAGGGGACUUGCUCGGCACUAGAAUUCUCCAGGGCUUCUGGAGCCCACUACGCAGCGGAGCAGAGCUGGGGAGUUGACAGCCCCAGAGCAACAGGUAUAGAAGACAAUAGACGCUUCUCCGCAUCCGUCCUGCAGGCUUCUCCGCACUCCUAAGCCCGCUCCUCCGCCGGUGGUGGGUCCUUGCAGUGGCUUCUUCGUCUCCCCCACCACUGAGCCUAUAUGGCGAUCCUUACUUCUCCCUGUGUUCGCCCAAACCUUUGCCUGUAAGUAACUGACUUGGCCAAAAGUCUCAUUACAACCUCUGCAUUCAAAGCCGUCUGUAAGCUGCUCUUUGGAUACACCUUUUGGAUUUUGUUGGGCUUUUUUUUUUUGUCAUUGUUGGCUAUGACGGUUUCAUAUAUCAGGGAUAUUAACCUUUUGAGAAAAUGUCAACAGAGUUGUGAAAGGAAAAUAUUGUAUCUCUGGAAUUCUAUGCCAUGCCGUGCUAUAAUGAGGUCAAGACAAAAACAUUCAUGUAUUUGCCUUUAAUACCUCAGAAAUACAAUGUUUAGAAAGAUCUAUUUUAUAUUACUGCUUGUAUCAGUUUUUAACUUGAAAAUCUUAUUUAUACCUCCAUAAAAUCGAC